UACAGAGGGUGCAAGCGUUAUUCGGAUUUACUGGGCGUAAAGCGCGUGUAGGCGGAUUGCUAAGUCUGGUGUGAAAGCCCUGGACUCAAUUCAGGAAGUGCCUUGGAUACUGGCAGACUGGAGGUCUGGAGAGGCGAGUGGAAUUCCUGGUGUAGAGGUGAAAUUCGUAGAUAUCCGGAGGAACACCAGUGGCGAAGGCGGCUCGCUGGACUGAUACUGACGCUGAGGUGCGAAAGCGUGGGGAGCAAACAGG
rnacentral:rRNA from 1 species